rnacentral:tRNA from 1 species
GCCCCAGUGGCGCGCAAUGGAUAGCGCGUCGGACUUCUAAUCCGGAGGUUGAGGGUUCGAGUCCCUCCUGGGGUG